CUUUCUCCUUUUCCCUAGGAGAUAAAGUUCUCUCUCCCCUUUGUUUUAUUUUGGAUUGCAGAGGAGUUGGUGAGAGUUUUUCUCUCCCGUUUGUGAGAGCUCUUCUCUCCCUUUGUAGGAGCUUCUCUCUCUCUGUGAGAGUUCUUUCCUUUUCCUCAAUUUCAGAUCCGAUUUUGCUUUCAUUCAGUUUGCCAUUUUGAGAGUCGACGGCUUAGGCACCCGACGUCCAUCGUCGGCUUUUCUAUUCUGUUUUUUUUUUUUUUUUUUCAUUGGGCUUUUAGCGUUCUUUUCAAACCUCAAUUUCAACCCUGAAGCUCCUUUCUUUCAACCCCAUCCUUUCCAUAUUCCUAUCCGUUAUCCACCAUCGCCAACACUGCUCAUGCAUCAUGGUCUCUCUCUCUCCUCUCUUUGUAUCAGAUCAGUGAAAAGUGUUGAGUACAAAAAGGUUUGGCAUUGAGGAGGAUGCAUAGAGAGAUAGAAAGAAGUGUAGAAGAUGAUUUAACAAUCGGAUCUUAAGUGAUUUAUUCAGAUAUGAACUAUGAAGUUCUUAUGGAGGUUGUUCAAGAACGCUACCGAUGGAAGAUGGAUGGAAGUAUUUUAUGAAAUUGUAGGACUUGAUUGCAAGUUUGUCUUGGAGGACUUGAUUGCAAAAAUAUUAAAUUUUAUUAAAAGACACUGACAUUAAUAAUGGGAUUAGACAAUGCAAUGGGUGCUCAGAGGGCGUCAUCUUUCCUC